AUACUUACCUUGACGCGACUUCCUUGCUCAUAAAGAAGGAGGAUCCAUGGAGUUGACUCUCAUUGCACUACGACAGCUCGAUUCCUUGCGAGACAGUCUUCGGAAUGGCCGGCGUCGCAAUUUUUGAUUUAUUAC
rnacentral:snRNA from 21 species